GACGAACGCUGGCGGCGUGCUUAACACAUGCAAGUCGAACGGAAAGGCCUCUUUCGGGGGGUACUCGAGUGGCGAACGGGUGAGUAACACGUGAGUAACCUGCCCUUGACUUUGGGAUAACUUCAGGAAACUGGGGCUAAUACCGGAUAGGAGCUCCUGCUGCAUGGUGGGGGUUGGAAAGUUUCGGCGGGUGGGGGUGGACUCGCGGCUUAUCAGCUUGUUGGUGGGGUAGUGGCUUACCAAGGCUUUGACGGGUAGCCGGCCUGAGAGGGUGACCGGCCACAUUGGGACUGAGAUACGGCCCAGACUCCUACGGGAGGCAGCAGUGGGGAAUAUUGCACAAUGGGUGGAAGCCUGAUGCAGCAACGCCGUGUGCGGGAUGACGGCCUUCGGGUUGUAAACCGCUUUCGCUCAUGACGAAGCUUUGUGUGACGGUAGUGGGUAAAGAAGCACCGGCUAACUACGUG
rnacentral:rRNA from 1 species